rnacentral:rRNA from 1 species
GGGUUGUGAGGUUAAGCGACUAAGCGUACACGGUGGAUGCCCUGGCAGUCAGAGGCGAUGAAGGGCGUGCUAAUCUGCGAUAAGCGCCGGUAAGGUGAUAUGAACCGUUAUAACCGGCGAUACCCGAAUGGGGAAACCCAGUGUGAUUCGUCACACUAUCAUUAACUGAAUCCAUAGGUUAAUGAGGCGAACCGGGGGAACUGAAACAUCUAAGUACCCCGAGGAAAAGAAAUCAACCGAGAUUCCCCCAGUAGCGGCGAGCGAACGGGGAGGAGCCCAGAGCCUGAAUCAGCAUGUGUGUUAGUGGAAGCGUCUGGAAAGGCGCGCGAUACAGGGUGACAGCCCCGUACACAAAAGCGCAUGUGCUGUGAGCUCGAUGAGUAGGGCGGGACACGUGGUAUCCUGUCUGAAUAUGGGGGGACCAUCCUCCAAGGCUAAAUACUCCUGACUGACCGAUAGUGAACCAGUACCGUGAGGGAAAGGCGAAAAGAACCCCGGCGAGGGGAGUGAAAAAGAACCUGAAACCGUGUACGUACAAGCAGUGGGAGCACAGGUUUACCUGUGUGACUGCGUACCUUUUGUAUAAUGGGUCAGCGACUUAUAUUCUGUAGCAAGGUUAACCGUAUAGGGGAGCCGUAGGGAAACCGAGUCUUAACCGGGCGUUAAGUUGCAGGGUAUAGACCCGAAACCCGGUGAUCUAGCCAUGGGCAGGUUGAAGGUUGGGUAACACUAACUGGAGGACCGAACCGACUAAUGUUGAAAAAUUAGCGGAUGACCUGUGGCUGGGGGUGAAAGGCCAAUCAAACCGGGAGAUAGCUGGUUCUCCCCGAAAGCUAUUUAGGUAGCGCCUCGUGAAUUCAUCUCCGGGGGUAGAGCACUGUUUCGGCUAGGGGGCCAUCCCGGCUUACCAACCCGAUGCAAACUGCGAAUACCGGAGAAUGUUAUCACGGGAGACACACGGCGGGUGCUAACGUCCGUCGUGAAGAGGGAAACAACCCAGACCGCCAGCUAAGGUCCCAAAGUCAUGGUUAAGUGGGAAACGAUGUGGGAAGGCCCAGACAGCCAGGAUGUUGGCUUAGAAGCAGCCAUCAUUUAAAGAAAGCGUAAUAGCUCACUGGUCGAGUCGGCCUGCGCGGAAGAUGUAACGGGGCUAAACCAUGCACCGAAGCUGCGGCAGCGAACGUAUCACCCAAGACAACUUUACGGAGUUGACGAUUGACGGAGCGAAGCGACGUCAAAGCGUUCAUUAAAGUCGAGUUGGCUUAGGGAUACGUUCGUUGGGUAGGGGAGCGUUCUGUAAGCCUGUGAAGGUGUGUCGUGAGGCAUGCUGGAGGUAUCAGAAGUGCGAAUGCUGACAUAAGUAACGAUAAAGCGGGUGAAAAGCCCGCUCGCCGGAAGACCAAGGGUUCCUGUCCAACGUUAAUCGGGGCAGGGUGAGUCGACCCCUAAGGCGAGGCCGAAAGGCGUAGUCGAUGGGAAACGGGUUAAUAUUCCCGUACUUGGUGUUACUGCGAAGGGGGGACGGAGAAGGCUAUGUUGGCCGGGCGACGGUUGUCCCGGUUUAAGCGUGUAGGUGUGUGUUCCAGGUAAAUCCGGUUCACUUUAACACUGAGGCGUGACGACGAGGCACUACGGUGCUGAAGCAACAAAUGCCCUGCUUCCAGGAAAAGCCUCUAAGCAUCAGGUAACACGAAAUCGUACCCCAAACCGACACAGGUGGUCAGGUAGAGAAUACCAAGGCGCUUGAGAGAACUCGGGUGAAGGAACUAGGCAAAAUGGUGCCGUAACUUCGGGAGAAGGCACGCUGACACGUAGGUGAAGUGAUUUACUCACGGAGCUGAAGUCAGUCGAAGAUACCAGCUGGCUGCAACUGUUUAUUAAAAACACAGCACUGUGCAAACACGAAAGUGGACGUAUACGGUGUGACGCCUGCCCGGUGCCGGAAGGUUAAUUGAUGGGGUCAGCGCAAGCGAAGCUCCUGAUCGAAGCCCCGGUAAACGGCGGCCGUAACUAUAACGGUCCUAAGGUAGCGAAAUUCCUUGUCGGGUAAGUUCCGACCUGCACGAAUGGCGUAAUGAUGGCCAGGCUGUCUCCACCCGAGACUCAGUGAAAUUGAACUCGCUGUGAAGAUGCAGUGUACCCGCGGCAAGACGGAAAGACCCCGUGAACCUUUACUAUAGCUUGACACUGAACAUUGAGCCUUGAUGUGUAGGAUAGGUGGGAGGCUUUGAAGUGUGGACGCCAGUCUGCAUGGAGCCGACCUUGAAAUACCACCCUUUAAUGUUUGAUGUUCUAACGUGGACCCGUAAUCCGGGUUGCGGACAGUGUCUGGUGGGUAGUUUGACUGGGGCGGUCUCCUCCUAAAGAGUAACGGAGGAGCACGAAGGUUGGCUAAUCCUGGUCGGACAUCAGGAGGUUAGUGCAAUGGCAUAAGCCAGCUUGACUGCGAGCGUGACGGCGCGAGCAGGUGCGAAAGCAGGUCAUAGUGAUCCGGUGGUUCUGAAUGGAAGGGCCAUCGCUCAACGGAUAAAAGGUACUCCGGGGAUAACAGGCUGAUACCGCCCAAGAGUU